UGGGGAAUUUUGCACAAUGGGGGAAACCCUGAUGCAGCGACGCCGCGUGAUUUAGAAGGCCUUCGGGUUGUAUAAAUCUUUUCUAUGGGAAGAAAAUGACAGUACCAUAGGAAUAAGGACCGGCUAAUUACGUGCCAGCAGCCGCGGUAAUACGUAAGGUCCGAGCGUUGUCCGGAAUCAUUGGGCGUAAAGGGUACGUAGGCGGGUAAGCAAGUUAGAAGUGAAAUCCUAUAGCUGAACUAUAGUAAGCUUUUAAAACUGCUCAUCUUGAGGUAUGGAAGGGAAAGUGGAAUUCCUAGUGUAGCGGUGAAAUGCGCAGAUAUUAGGAGGAAUACCGGUGGCGAAGGCGACUUUCUGGCCAUAACCUGACGCUGAGGUACGAAAGCGUGGGUAGCAAACAGG
rnacentral:rRNA from 1 species